rnacentral:lncRNA from 1 species
GGGUGAGCGCGCCGGCCGCCGCUAGAGGUCGCCAGCACGCGGACGCGCGUCUGCCGUCUGCAAAGAGCUCUGAGUAUGAAAACUUUACUGAGAUGUGGCACAAAUUCUGGAGGAUUAUCCUCUGCCUAUCCAUGUGACGCUCCUGCUGCUCCGCUCACACAAUAGAUGCCCACACUCGGCUUCUCGUCAGGCCCCUGAGCACAGGACAGAGGGAAUUUUCGGAACCAAAUGUGAGGCUCAGGAUCAGUGUUAUGCCCUGCCACAACUCUUAGGCACCUCGGAGCUUGGAGACACCCCACUCCUCAGCACCACCACACCAAAACAUUCCUCCUUAUCUCAAAGUCAGACAGCGGCAGUAUCCAGAAGCCCAGAGAAGUCAAGUCCAAAGGGAAGGGUGCUACCACGACCUGGAGAACUGUCUACUCAAGUCCAAGGGGCACCGCAUCUUGCGCCCCUGCCCCUAAAGCAUGGGACCUGCGUUGCCUACUGUGACACCAUCCCUAGCUGGAAGGCAACGUUUUCUUCCCUCUUGGAGAGAUCAACUGCGAAGUAUUUCUUUUAAAAGUUGGUUUUAUCUCCCCUAGAUUUAAGAAAAAAAUUUUCCCCGGGGGAAAAAUGUCUCAUUAAGGUCAUUACACAGUUAUUUUUCAAAUAUUUAACUUUUUCCAAUAGUUUCACUCACCGAGGGGUGGCGCUGCCGCACCACCUCCUCUGAAACUCCUAAUGGUUUUUUGCACAGCAAAGUGGGUUGUGAGUGUGGCUACUCAGCAGGAGAUAGAGGGAAGGAAGGAUUUUGACAUCUAGUCAUGGCUACCAUUUACUCAACUCAAGAACUCUUCAAGGACUCAGCAAAUGACAGCUCAAGAAUUGAAGAGUUCCAUCCCUGUCCACCAAACCCAGAAUAAAUUAGACAGUCUUUUCAAGAAAGCAUUAGAGAUUACAAAACCCUUCAAAACUGAGCAAGAGAAGAAAAGACAAUUGGAGAAUUCCUGCUUUGUCUGGCUGUCUCCUCCUUUAAAUCACCUAUUUUACAGAACAGCAUCUGGCUUUAUUGUCACUAUCAACAGAAUCUUAAAAUCAGCCAGUGCUCAAGCCUACAGUAUUGGAAAGUCUUCCAAAUAGGAUACUAGAAACUUCUAUUUAUAAACUUGUGGGGGGGGGUUCCCAUCUACAGGUUUCUAUUUUGGCCUAAAGACUCAAUUAUAGUUAUUUUAGCAAGAGAAUAUCCAACUCCUGGUGCUCUCUCUCCAUUUCCUCCUCCCCUAGAGACAAACAGCAUUUCUUCUUUUUUUGAAAAACAGCAUAUAUUUUAAAGCAAAAAUGGGAUUUCACCUUGCUCUUUUGAGCUCAUAUUUGCUACCUCCAGGAAUAGCAUGUGGACGAAGGCCAGAUGAACUUCAAUUUGGGCUGCAGAUUUACGAGGUUCUGUUUCAGUGCCAAAGGCUCUUGGUAGUAAAUAGUGAGCAAAAUAGAUACCUGUCUCUUGACAGAUUCAUUCUCUCUCCCUCUUUCUCUCUCUCUCUCUCUCCCUCCCUCCUUCCCUCCCUCCCUCCCUGCCUCUCCUAUUAUUUAUGAAAACCGCACACACCUUGCAAAGAAAAAGGGAAACUGGCUGUCUCUGUAGAGGAAGCCAGUGGCAUUACUCAGAGCCACAAACUGUAUUUCUAAACAGCCCUUUCUCUGGUUUCGUCUCUCCUGCUCCACUUUUCUUUCUUUUCUGGACAGUGAAAAAACCUACCUACUGACAUUCACUUAGAAUUUUUUGUGAAGUAAAGCAUCAUAGGAUUUCCCUCCUGGAAACUAUAAACUGAUUGAAACACAACAACAACAACAACGACAACGACAACCACCAUAAAAGAUGACAUGGCUUUCCUAGGAGAGAUGACGGGUCUGGGAGGUGGUCAGACAGCUUUCAACACCAGGUCUGGGGUCAUCCUCCCAGCUCAACUGUCAGGAUCUCCACUAUGCCCACCACUAAGUCUUAUCCUUUGUGGUAGGGGGCACAACAUAGAAGAUCUUUUUACAAAAAUCUGUUGGGUUAUGUUCUUGUUUUCCAUGGGGGAGUUUUAAAACUCAUUAUUGCAACACGAGUUCCAUUUUUCUUUCGCCAGCGUUCCAAUAACAUGCUAGCAUAAAGGUAACGAGGCCCAUCGUUCUCCAAGACAUUUACAGUACCUAGGUCACUACCUCCGGGACUGGAGUGGCCCCUCGCUCCCCCCGGCUCCAGCGCAGCCGAUUUCAG